GCUUCUCAGGCUGAUUAGCUUCACUUUUAUAUUUUGCUGGGCUUGUUAUACAGGAAAUGACUUCAUUACCCUCUUCUUCCUUUAGUUUGGGAAUGCUGGAGCAAAAUUUCACCAAGCUUUCUCUAUCAUUAAGUUUUACCUAUUUGGUAUAGAGCAGAAAAGCAGAGUUCUGUUCAAGCCAAUCUUGCACAACAUGAAUCUGUAAAGACAUGAUAUAAUGAUGAUCGAGACUGGAUUCCAGCUGGGUGCCGUGUGAAAGCAGGCCAGUCCGAGGUGGGAACAGGAUCACAAAAUUCAGCACAGAGAGGAAGCUUGUGGGCUCCGGCGUUGAACUGCUCAGUUUGAAAACAGUCUCUAUUUCUGAGUAGCCUUGGGUUGCUGGGUUAAAAUGUCUAUGUUCAGACUUUUCACCUGUAAAAAUUGGGUUAAUCGGCUAAAGCACGUAAAUUCCUUAGCACAGUGCCUGACACAAAUCCCUUGAUAAAUGUUAGCUGGUAUUAGAGUUAUAACAAUUCCUGCCUUUGGAACAUUCAAAUCCCUAUUUCUCAUUAAGGCAAAGUCUAAAUU
rnacentral:lncRNA from 1 species